CACGUAGGGGCCAAGCGUUGUCCGGAUUCAUUGGGCGUAAAGAGCUCGUAGGCGGUUCAGUCAGUCGGGUGUGAAAUCUCCGGGCUCAACCCGGAGGGGCCACCCGAUACUGCUGUGACUCGAGUCCGGUAGGGGAGUGGGGAAUUCCUGGUGUAGCGGUGAAAUGCGCAGAUAUCAGGAGGAACACCGGUGGCGAAGGCGCCACUCUGGGCCGGUACCGACGCUGAGGAGCGAAAGCGUGGGUAGCAAACAGG
rnacentral:rRNA from 1 species